GGUCUUCUUUCCUCUUCUCUCUGCCUUUUUCCUAUUUCUGCAGUGAUUUGAACACUCAGCCAAGCUGCAGCGGACAAUCACCACGUACAUGUUCCUUGCCCUGGAGCUGGACAUGACCCCUUUCAUGGCCUCCAGCAAAGAGAGCGGGAUGAAUGGACAGUCCCAGCAGCCCAUGGACAGUCUCAAUAACAACAAAAAACUGGAUAUCUUUGUGGUCCCUGAAUGAUCCCAGGAGGCUGAACCUAUAAAGACGUCUGGUCCCUGACCCCUUCUGCCUCCAGGUGCCCAGAACAGCCUAUCGUGGGCCUUCACCCUUGGCAGGUGGAUGCCGUUGUCUCAGCUAAGGUUGAGAACUACCAACCUGGGUAAUUUGAGCAAAAUAUUGAGGACCAAAUAAAUAUGGCUGGGAGAAA